GACGAACGCUGGCGGCGUGCUUAACACAUGCAAGUCGAACGGAAAGGCCCUGCUUUUGUGGGGUGCUCGAGUGGCGAAAGGGUGAGUAACACGUGAGUAACCUGCCCUUGCCUUUGGGAUAACUUCAGGAAACUGGGGCUAAUACCGGAUAGGAGCUCCUGCUGCAUGGUGGGGGUUGGAAAGUUUCGGCGGUUGAGUAUGGACUCGCGGCUUAUCAGCUUGUUGGUGGGGUAGUGGCUUACCAAGGCUUUGACGGUUAGCCGGCCUGAGAGAGUGACCGGCCAGAAUCGGACAUAGACACGACUCAGACGCGUACGGGGAGCAACGGCAGGGGACACUCAGCCAUGGGCGGAAUACUAAUGAAGAAACUGGCGGUGAUGGAAAACGGACUCCGGGUAGGAAGCCGCGUUCGCCGGUGAAGAAGAGGGAGUGACGGUAAUGGGCAAACAAGCAACGGAUAACGACGUG
rnacentral:rRNA from 1 species